CCUACGGGAGGCAGCAGUGAGGAAUAUUGGUCAAUGGACGAGAGUCUGAACCAGCCAAGUAGCGUGAAGGAUGACUGCCCUAUGGGUUGUAAACUUCUUUUAUAUGGUAAUAAAAUGUUCCACGUGUGGGAUUUUGUAUGUACCAUAUGAAUAAGGAUCGGCUAACUCCGUGCCAGCAGCCGCGGUAAUACGGAGGAUCCGAGCGUUAUCCGGAUUUAUUGGGUUUAAAGGGAGCGUAGGUGGAUUGUUAAGUCAGUUGUGAAAGUUUGCGGCUCAACCGUAAAAUUGCAGUUGAAACUGGCAGUCUUGAGUACAGUAGAGGUGGGCGGAAUUCGUGGUGUAGCGGUGAAAUGCUUAGAUAUCACGAAGAACUCCGAUUGCGAAGGCAGUUCACUGGACUGCAACUGACACUGAGGCUCGAAAGUGUGGGUAUCAAACAGGAUUAGAUACCCCUGUAGUC
rnacentral:rRNA from 1 species